rnacentral:ncRNA from 1 species
CAAUCAUCUGUGAUUGGGAGAGUAAUGGAGCGAUAAGAGUUCAAGCGAGCCGGGUUGGUGAGAGCCGGUACCGAAUCCUUCAUGAAGCGGACCCAGGAGAUGAUCAUCAGAAUCGAUGAGGAGCGGCGGCACAGGCUUGCCAUGUCAGCUGCAUCGUCCUAGUAAGAUGAUCCGGCUGCCAGCCGUUAUCUGGAUCAAGGGGUUGAACGAAUGCAGGAGUGCGAGCCUUCGUUCAGCAACAAGAGUGGUACCGCGAGUGUGUAUACAGCCCUCGUCUCUUAA